UACGGAGGGUGCGAGCGUUGUCCGGAAUCACUGGGCGUAAAGGGCGCGUAGGCGGCGCGGGUAGUCAUCGGUGAAAGUUCAGGGCUCAACUCUGAAUCGGCCGGUGAUACUCCCGUGCUCGAGCACUGUAGAGGCAGGUGGAAUUCCGGGUGUAGCGGUGGAAUGCGUAGAGAUCCGGAAGAACACCGGUGGCGAAGGCGGCCUGCUGGGCAGUAGCUGACGCUGAGGCGCGACAGCGUGGGGAGCAAACAGG
rnacentral:rRNA from 1 species